rnacentral:rRNA from 1 species
UACGAAGGGUGCAAGCGUUAAUCGGAAUUACUGGGCGUAAAGGGUGCGUAGGCGGUUGUUUAAGUCUGUCGUGAAAUCCCCGGGCUCAACCUGGGAAUGGCGAUGGAUACUGGGCAGCUAGAGUGUGUCAGAGGAUGGUGGAAUUCCCGGUGUAGCGGUGAAAUGCGUAGAGAUCGGGAGGAACAUCAGUGGCGAAGGCGGCCUUCUGGACCAAUACUGACGCUCAUGCACGAAAGCGUGGGGAGCAAACAGG